rnacentral:rRNA from 1 species
AUUGAACGCUGGCGGCAUGCCUUACACAUGCAAGUCGAACGGUAACGCGGGGCAACCUGGCGACGAGUGGCGAACGGGUGAGUAAUGUAUCGGAACGUGCCCAGUUGUGGGGGAUAACUGCUCGAAAGAGCAGCUAAUACCGCAUACGACCUGAGGGUGAAAGCGGGGGAUCGCAAGACCUCGCGCAGUUGGAGCGGCCGAUAUCAGAUUAGGUAGUUGGUGGGGUAAAGGCUCACCAAGCCAACGAUCUGUAGCUGGUCUGAGAGGACGACCAGCCACACUGGGACUGAGACACGGCCCAGACUCCUACGGGAGGCAGCAGUGGGGAAUUUUGGACAAUGGGGGCAACCCUGAUCCAGCCAUGCCGCGUGCGGGAAGAAGGCCUUCGGGUUGUAAACCGCUUUUGUCAGGGAAGAAAAGACUCCUGUUAAUACCGGGGGUUCAUGACGGUACCUGAAGAAUAAGCACCGGCUAACUACGUGCCAGCCGCCGCCGUAAUAC